GACUAACGCUGGCGGCGUGCUUAACACAUGCAAGUCUAACGAGAAAGCGGUAGCAAUAUCGUGAGUAAAGUGGCGAACGGGUGAGUAACACGUAACCAAUCUGCCUUGAAGAGGAGGAAAACUGAGGGAAACUUUAGCUAAUCCUCCAUAAUGUGGUGCCUAUCGCAUGAGAACAUCAUUAAAGAUUUACUCGCUUCGGGAAGAGGUUGCGUCUGAUUAGCUAGUUGGCGGGGUAAAGGCCCACCAAGGCGACGAUCAGUAGCUGGUCUGAGAGGACGAUCAGCCACACUGGGACUGAGAUACGGCCCAGACUCCUACGGGAGGCAGCAGUGAGGAAUAUUGCGCAAUGGGCGAAAGCCUGACGCAGCAACGCCGCGUGUAGGAUGAAGUCUUUCGGGACGUAAACUACUGUUAGAGGGAAGAAACUCCGGUUACGCCGGGGGUGGACGGUACCCUCCAGAGAAAGCCACGGCUAACUCUGUGCCAGCAGCCG
rnacentral:rRNA from 1 species